GGCGGACGGGUGAGUAACGCGUGGGUAACCUGCCUCAUACAGGGGGAUAACAGUUGGAAACGGCUGCUAAUACCGCAUAAGCGCACAGUACCGCAUGGUACGGUGUGAAAAACUCCGGUGGUAUGAGAUGGACCCGCGUCUGAUUAGGUAGUUGGUGGGGUGACGGCCUACCAAGCCGACGAUCAGUAGCCGACCUGAGAGGGUGACCGGCCACAUUGGGACUGAGACACGGCCCAA
rnacentral:rRNA from 1 species